rnacentral:rRNA from 1 species
CCUACGUGAGGCAGCAGUGAGGAAUAUUGGUCAAUGGACGCAAGUCUGAACCAGCCAUGCCGCGUGCAGGAAGACGGCUCUAUGAGUUGUAAACUGCUUUUGUACGAGGGUAAACGCAGAUACGCGUAUCUGUCUGAAAGUAUCGUACGAAUAAGGAUCGGCCAACUCCGUGCCAGCAGCCGCGGUAAUACGGAGGAUUCAAGCGUUAUCCGGAUUUAUUGGGUUUAAAGGGUGCGUAGGCGGGCGGAUAAGUUAGAGGUGAAAUCCCGAGGCUCAACUUCGGAAUUGCCUCUGAUACUGUUCGGCUAGAGAGUAGUUGCGGUAGGCGGAAUGUAUGGUGUAGCGGUGAAAUGCUUAGAGAUCAUACAGAACACCAGUUGCGAAGGCAGCUUACCAAGCUGCAUCUGACGUUGAGGCACGAAAGCGUGGGGAGCAAACAGGAUUAGAUACCCCUGUAGUC